rnacentral:rRNA from 1 species
UACGUAGGAGGCAAGCGUUUGUCCGGAAUUACUGGGCGUAAAGCGCGUGUAGGUGGUGGGACAAGUCUGCUGUGAAAGUGCCUGGCUUAACCGGGCGAGGUCGGCGGAAACUGUCCGACUCGAGGACGGUAGAGGGGGGUGGAAUUCCCGGUGUAGUGGUGAAAUGCGUAGAGAUCGGGAGGAACACCUGUGGCGAAGGCGGCCCCCUGGGCCGGCCCUGACACUGAGACGCGAAGGCGUGGGGAGCGAACGGG